CUCCAGUAAAUAUUUCUUAAAUUGAUCCAUAGAUAAACAUUAUCAACAAAAAAAUCCCAGUCCAUGUAGGAGUAUUUCAGAUCAUUUCCAUGUCGAGCCACUUUGCAUCAGCAGCUCCAUGCUCCAGUGCUCUAAGAGAGUUUAUAGUCCUGCCACUUGAACACUGGAUGACUGACAGCUGUCCUUCAUCACAACACAAGACACACAAAUCCUCCUCCUCAUCACAAACAUGACUCUGAUCUGUGUCCUCAUCUGGACUCUCCUCUGCUGCUGCUUCACAGAGUCCAGAGGACAGGUCACAGUGACUCAGCCUGCAGCAGUGAGCUCUGCUCUGGGAUCCUCUGUCACCAUCCCAUGCAGGACCAGUCAGAAUGUUUAUAACAAUAACUAUUUUUUCUGGUACCAACAGAAAGAUGGAGGAAUUCCUAAACUCCUCAUUAAGUAUGUUAAUCAGCGAGUAUCAGGGAUUCCAGAUCGUUUUUCAGGCAGUGGAUCAGGCUCUGACUACACUUUGACCAUCAGUGGAGUCCAGACUGAAGAUACAGCAGUUUACUACUGUAAGGGUGAACAUAACAUUAACAGCCUUUGGUUGUUCACACAGUGAAAAAGCAUGGUACAAAAACCUCCCUCAGUCAGACUGAACAGAAACUGAACUGACUGCUGCAUCUGGAAGUUUCUGACACACUUCACUGAAACUCAUUCUCACUUAAAUG